rnacentral:rRNA from 1 species
AGUGGGGAAUUUUGGACAAUGGGGGCAACCCUGAUCCAGCCAUGCCGCGUGAGUGAAGAAGGCCUUCGGGUUGUAAAGCUCUUUCGGCCGGGAAGAAAUCGCUUCGGCUAAUACCUGGAGUGGAUGACGGUACCGGAAGAAGAAGCACCGGCUAACUACGUGCCAGCAGCCGCGGUAAUACGUAGGGUGCGAGCGUUAAUCGGAAUUACUGGGCGUAAAGCGUGCGCAGGCGGUUUCGUAAGACAGAUGUGAAAUCCCCGGGCUUAACCUGGGAACUGCGUUUGUGACUGCGAGACUUGAGUGCGGCAGAGGGGGGUGGAAUUCCACGUGUAGCAGUGAAAUGCGUAGAGAUGUGGAGGAACACCGAUGGCGAAGGCAGCCCCCUGGGUCGACACUGACGCUCAUGCACGAAAGCGUGGGGAGCAAACAGGAUUAGAUACCCUGGUAGUCCACGCCCUAAACGAUGCGAACUAGGUGUUGGGGAAGGAGACUUCUUUAGUACCGUAGCUAACGCGUGAAGUUCGCCGCCUGGGGAGUACGGUCGCAAGAUUAAAACUCAA